UAAUGGCAGGUCAGCAUACUGCCGUGAAUACGUUCCCGGGCCUUGUACACACCGCCCGUCACACCAUGAGAGUUGGGAAUACCCGAAGCCUGUGAGCUAACAUUUAUGAGGCAGCAGUCGAAGGUAGAAUCAAUGAUUGGGGUGAAGUCGUAACAAGGUACC
rnacentral:rRNA from 1 species